rnacentral:ribozyme from 1 species
UACCCUACUUCGACUCAAUACGUCCCCGGCGUAUAGAACGGUAACAUGUCUCUCCAAAUAUCUGAGCUUGUGUAUACGGGGAAACCCAACCCCUUGGGAAGAUGAGUGAUAUGGCUAAAUGGAGCAGA